UUGAGAAUUGUGGCAUCCCUAGUGCGUGUUUAUUGUACUUAUGUUUAUUUUUCUGUACAGCACUUUGGACAACUUUGGUUGUUGUAUAGUGCUUAACAAAUAAAGUUGGUAUGGUAAGUUUAGCUGUUUAAAAAAAAAGACCGUUGCAAUUUAAAUAAUAAGCUACAAAAACCAAUGCAAAAGACAAAUCAAAAACCUCUGUGUUCAGCGAAUCAUUUUCACGGCAAUAAUUAUUUAAGCCAAUCAGAAUUGACACCUCUGCUACGUUGGUGGCGCACGCAGGAAGAAGCGCGCGACAUGAUGAAGACGGCGGCGCGCUGGUGAACUACUCUGCUGUUUUCGACGAAGCAACACUUGUGAGAGUUUUUUGAUUCAAUACCAGGAAUUGGAACAAUAGCUAUCUGGAACUUCUGGAACUGAGAUCAGUCAGAAGCCUUCAAGCUCAAACAUUAAUGAUGGAUGAUGUAGACAGUGGUCUUUCUGACUUCAUUUACUCUGUGCUGCCAAAUUCAAGUUCAAAUGACCUGCUGUUAGAGGCUCUUCAGACCCUGGGUGUGGAAACCGUUGAAGAUUUAAAAUAUGUCCAGGAGGCAGAUCUUGUUAAUACCCUCAGGCCAAUUGAAGCUCGAAAAUUGAUUGCGACAUUUAAAG